rnacentral:tRNA from 2 species
GGCCGGUUGGCCCAAUUGGUAAGGCGUCUGACUACGAUCAUAGCACACACGCCUUGGUUCUGAACAUCAUCGAUAAUCAGGAGAUUCUGGGUUCGAGCCCCAGGCUGGUCA